UGAAGGGGGGUGGCAAGGGUGUGCAGCCAGGGCGGGUUGGGUUGGGAAGGUGGCUUAACUGGAUAUUGUGACUGAGUAACUAAUGUGCGAGGUACUACUCUCCAAGCCUGAGCAUGGCUCUUCUCUUGUGCUGACUUGCUCAGAGCAGUUUCCAAUUUUACUUUAUUUUUGAUGAGCUCUUUGGAGUUAAGGAACUGCAGUUGUUUUUCCCUUGUAAGGAAUGUUGUCUGCAUUUUAGCAAAAUAAGCUGACCAAGAAAAACAGUAUUUAAGAAAUAAUUUUCCCUGCUGUGUACCUACCAGGAGCAGGGUACCUGGAGAGUUUAAGGAGUUUGCAGCUGGGUAGUAGAGGGAAAAACAGGAGAUACAAACCAGAUACAGCACUCAGCUCCCCAUCCCCUGACAUUUCCAUGAUGAACUGGGAUACCAGUGGCCCAUAAAGCUCUUGUCUCCUGUCCUGAACUCAAGAGAAAACAGAUUUGAAAGUUCUUGGAUGAAUGUAACUUUGGAUGGAUGUGAGUUGUACAUCAGGAAAGCAGGGCUUGAUGGUGACUCAUUUAGUGACUGCUGUCCUGUCCUCAGUGUAUAGCUGCUGUCACUCAUCUGGGUUGCUUUGCCUUCAUGAUCUUCAUAGGGGCUGCUUCUGGCUCUUUUCCCCCUCAGCUCUAAAAGACACUAUUAGUCAAAGUCUGCAAUGGGCCUUUAGCUGUGUUAAUUACAUCUUGAAUCUUUUUGGACAGUUUUGUUUUCCUAAGUCCCUUCAGUAUCUGAUUCUUAUGAUGUCUUAAUUCCCUUAAAUUUUCUGCUUUUUUUUUUUUUUUUUUCAAGGAAAUACAUGUUUCCAGACACUAGCAAGCUGCUUAGUUCAGUUUGGGUGUUUCUUAUGCCUUCCAGAGUGAUUCCCAGAAACUGAGCUGCUGCGCGGCCCCACCCAAGUGCACAAGACCGGGCUUUCUGUGUACAUGAAGCUGUUACUAGGUGUUACUGCUUCCACAGACCAACCUCUCUAGUUUCCUCAUGGUCCUGUCUGGUGCACUCUUAGUUCUACUUGUCACUCACUAAGGUUUUUGUUGAUACUCUGUGGAACUGAAUCUUACCAAGAGCUGCUGCUAUGAGUAGAGGUGAGGUGGUCGUGUCUGAGGGUGAAAGAACAAGUGUCCUGUCCUGAUCAUACUCCAAGGACAAGGGACUUGGGAGGAUUGAUAGUGCUGUGACUUCUGUGUGGCUAUCACUGUGCUGUAUGAUAGGUCUGGAAAGAUCAUGCAGCUUCCAGUAGUUCGUCAGAUCAGCAUGUAGAUAUGGGCAGAGACUGGAAGGAAAGGACUGCGGUCUGGAAAGUUGUUCCCCUUUUCAAAUGGACUGGUUUGCUGAGUUUCCAUUUUGUCUUGGUGCCAUGGAUAGAACCCAGAGUCUCACUUGUGCCAGGUUAGUCCUACCCUUUAGCUGUUCUCAACCCUCCCUUGAUUUGAACACAGUCCCAGCAGUUAAAAAAGUCCCUCUUUUUCCUGUUUGAGUCUCAUAAGAUGGCAUCUUGUGAAAGUGGCCUCCCACUCAUGUCACAUCUUAGCAGCUCAGGGAACUUGUAUCAAUUCCCAAAACCUCGCCAUCAAGAGAGAAUGAAACUAGGAACUCCUUCUGAAAGGACUUUAUUCCUGCUUAAGCUUUUAGCUUGGCUUGUCACCUCUUAUAAGAAGAAAGGGAGGGUAUGGGUAGGACAUUCAAAAAGAUUCUCUUGUAGUCUCCAUGAGAUCAAAAUUUAUCAGGAUUGCAGGAAGAUCCUUGAGAAUCUUUGUCUCCAUAGUGCACCUUUCUCUGAGUACCCGUCUGGGAAGCUUAUGCAAGCCUGAGGUGUCUUUGUUCCAUCCUUAAGUUUUGCUCUUUGGAAGCUAAGCUGCUAGGAGUGGUCCAAGAGGCUGGCCUCCCUCCCUGUGCUGGCUCUUUUAUUUGGAUGUCAUUUUCUAGCCUGGUUUCAGGGGUGUGUGCUGUUGGGUAUACCUGGAAUUCAAGGGCUGGUGUGUUGAGUCCACCUCAGAGGCAAGGUACUGUAGGCUUGGGAUGCAGCCAAUGAACUGGUUCUUAGUAAUUUAUGGAAAGACUUAUUCCUGUGACCCAACUCUUCUACCGUCCAAUGUUGUGAGGAAGCACAGUUGUACCCUAGACUACAGACUCAGCCCCAAUUAUGAGUUUUAGGUUGUUUUUGGAAUUCUCAAACUCAAAUUGCUAUAUAAAUUCUUAUACAGCAAUAGAAAGCAUUCUAAAUAGUUGCUAGUCUGGCUGGUCACAGUAUCCAUUUAUUAGAGACUGAGUUCUGUGAUUAUUUGACCUUAUUAACUUGGGGGGGGGUGCCUCUUCAUGAAUUUUGGACUGCAUCACAAAUCUGAGGUAGCCAAAGCCUUGGUACUGUAGCUCAGGGUCAGGACCAGUUUCUAUCUGUAGUGUACCUGACUUGAGGUUAUCAUAUAAACAAGCCAGAAGAUACUCAGAAGAUUGGGUCUUUUUUAUUGAACCCAGGCCCUCACAUGUGCUAUGCAAGCACUACACCAAGCUGUAUUCCAGGCCUGCUAAAGGCUGAGACUGGGGUAGCAUUCCUAUUUCCAAAGUCACAUGACCUAUGAUUGCUUCAUUAAGAUUGUAAGGUUAACCAUGGCUUAAAAAUAAAUGGUUUUGGUGAACU
rnacentral:lncRNA from 1 species